UCUGGUUGAUCCUGCCAGUAGUCAUAUGCUUGUCUCAAAGAUUAAGCCAUGCAUGUCUAAGUACAAGCCUCACUAAGGUGAAACCGCGAAUGGCUCAUUAAAUCACACCUAAUCUACUGGAUAGUAAACAGUUACUUGGAUAACUGCGGUAAUUCUGGAGCUAAUACAUGCACAAAGCCGCGACUCACGAAGCGGCGCUUUUAUUAGAUCAAAACCAAACGGCUUCGGCUGUACUCAUGGUGACUUUGAAUAACUUUGGGCUGAUCGCAUAGCCUUGAGCUGGCGACAUAUCCUUCGAAGGUGUGCCCUAUCAACUUUCGACUGUGGCAUAGACGCCCACAGUGGUUUUGACGGGUAACGGGGAAUCAGGGUUCGAUUCCGGAGAGGGAGCCUUAAAAACGGGUACCACAUCUAAGGAAGGCAGCAGGCAC
rnacentral:rRNA from 1 species